UUAAAGAAGACAAGUUAGAUGAUACAAACUUGAUUUAACACUGCAUGAAAUGAAUAAUCUGCUUUCAGAGAACUGAAAAAAUGGGGCAGACGGCAAGAAGCUUUUAUAGGAUAAAGAAUAAAGAACGAGCAAGAGACAAACAGAAAACAUCUGAUUGGCUGGGGCCACAUAGCCACCCUCGAUGGGGGUGAGGAGACCUGGAGCUGGCUCGGCCUUCGGGAACUGGCUGACUGGACACGCUGCGUGUCUGGUCAAGCGGAGCAUUUAUGGGACGCGGAUGUUAGAUCUAAGUUUCGGUUUGCUGACACGGCACCCUGGGAAGGAGCGGCCCCAUCUUGGGCCUAGAGAUUUAUUUCAGCAAUACACAUGGUAAAAACUCGAGCAUGCAACAGAAAUAUGCAAAAGAAAAGCGAAGCCCUCCAAAGCCCCCUCCACCCUGUCCUACUACCCGAAGUGCCCAUGGCCCAUCUCCACCCCAAGACUAAUACCCAAACUGUCGAGGGACUGGCUAGGAGAAGGCAGAAGGCAGUCUCUCCUGACUCUUCACACUGGCCUGCUACACAACGCUGCUUGUCUCCCGACAUCCCUACCCUUGUCAGAACCUCAGAACAGGCGGCAUCAAAGACUCAAGCUGGAGGCCCCCCAACGGUAAACCAACAGUAAAUCAAGCAAACGCUGUAGGAUGUGCCACCCAAUACAGUCACCACUGGCCACGUGUGCAGACCAAGCACUUGAGAUGUAACUAGAGCAAACUGAGAUGUACCAUAGAAUACACACCAGAUUUUGUAAAACAUCUCCUUACUAAUGUUUAUAUUGAUUACAUUUUGAAAUGAUACUAUUUUCGAUAUACUGGGUUAAAUAAAAUCUGUUAUUAAAAUUA